AAUAUUUGUAGAUUUCGGUAUCGGUAUCACUCAUCGUCAUUUGGACUUCUCCCCUUUACCUCGGUUAGUUUCGCCGGGGUUUUU
rnacentral:ncRNA from 1 species